rnacentral:rRNA from 1 species
UACGGAGGGUGCGAGCGUUGUCCGGAAUCAUUGGGCGUAAAGGGUGCGUAGGUGGUCUAUUAAGUCAGUGCUGAAAUAUCCCGGCUUAACCGGGAGGGUGGCAUUGAUACUGAUGGACUUGAGUAAAGUUGAGGUGGGCGGAAUUGACGGUGUAGCGGUGAAAUGCUUAGAUAUCGUCAAGAACACCUAUUGCGAAGGCAGCUCACUAAGCUUUAACUGACACUGAGGCACGAAAGUGUGGGGAUCAAACAGG